rnacentral:rRNA from 1 species
AUACGUAGGGGGCGAGCGUUGUCCGGAUUUACUGGGCGUAAAGGGUGAGUAGGCGGUUGCAUAUGUCAGAUGUAAAAGGCACAGGCUCAACUUGUGUUAGCAUUUGAAACUGGGAGACUUGAGUGCAGGAGAGGAAAGUGGAAUUCCUAGUGUAGCGGUGAAAUGCGUAGAUAUUAGGAGGAACACCAGUAGCGAAGGCGGCUUUCUGGACUGUAACUGACACUGAGGCACGAAAGCGUGGGGAGC